GACGAACGCUGGCGGCGUGCCUAAUACAUGCAAGUCGUGCGGACCUUUUAAAAGCUUGCUUUUAAAAGGUUAGCGGCGGACGGGUGAGUAACACGUGGGCAACCUGCCUGUAAGACUGGGAUAACGCCGGGAAACCGGGGCUAAUACCAGAUAGUUUUUUCCUCCGCAUGGAGGAAAAAGGAAAGGCGGCUUCGGUUGCCACUUACAGAUGGGCCCGCGGCGCAUUAGCUAGUUGGCGGGGUAAUGGCCCACCAAGGCAACGAUGCGUAGCCGACCUGAGGGGGUGAUCGGCCACAUUGGGACUGAGACACGGCCCAAACUCCUACGGGAGGCAGCAGUAGGGAAUCUUCCGCAAUGGACGAAAGUCUGACGGAGCAACGCCGCGUGAGUGAAGAAGGUUUUCGGAUCGUAAAGCUCUGUUGUUGGUGAAGAAGGAUAGAGGUAGUAACUGGCCUUUAUUUGACGGUAAUCAACCAGAAAGUCACGGCUAACUAC
rnacentral:rRNA from 1 species